CAUGGCUUUUGCCAGGAGGUGCCAUGUCUGCACCCAGGAUCCGAACCGGUGAACCCCGGGCUGCCGAGAAGUGGAACAUGUGAACCUAACCCCUGUGCCACCAGUGGCUGUACCGUUCUGUCCUGUCCCAGAAGCAGUGAGUGAAAGUUCCUGUUGCUUCACAUCAUGGCAGAUCUAGAGGUUAGAAGUCUAAAAUGGGUCUGCAGGACUGCGUUCCUUCUGGACACUCUGGGGGAAAUCCAUCCCCUUGACUUUUCCAGCUUCUAGAGGCCAUCUCUUUUCCUGGACCCACAUCACUCCAGCCUCUGCUUCCAUUAUCACGUCUCCUUCUCUGAUUCUGACCCUCUUGCCUCCCUCUUAUGAGGACCCUUGUGAUGACCUUGGCUCACCUGGAUAAUCCAGGUAAUGGGUACUUAGAAGUGAACUUGAUGAGGAAAAAGUACUUAGAAGCACUCCAGGACACUUGCAUUUCGAGGAAGAGAACUUGAGCUUGGGGAGGCAUCACAGAACUCCCCUUCGUUUAU
rnacentral:lncRNA from 1 species